CUGGAACCUACAUCCCAACUUGUACAACGAUGGACAAUACACCCCUGAGCAAUGUUCAGGAUCUACAGGUUCCUGUUGGUGUGUGACCUGUAAUGGACAGAAGAUCAGGGGUACUGAGACUCCACCAGGCACUGCUAACACCAUCUGUGCCACCCUGAUUUGCUCGUAGAUGAAUGGCGUUGGAACGAAGACGUUAAAAAUACUUUGACAGUUUCUUUACUGUCCUACAGGAACUGCUUCCCAUUCCAUACAAAUAAAUAAAUGAAGAAAUCCUGAGAGAAUUUAAACUUUUAA